rnacentral:rRNA from 1 species
AUGCCUAAAGAUGGCAAAAACAGGAAACCUUCAGAAAUUAUUUUGCUGCAGCAGCUAACACUUCCGAUGGAAAAUUAUACUAAUAGACUGGAACAAGAGUGCAUGUUCGUCUUGGAUAGAAUUAAUCUCACUUCCUUGCAUCCUCCGAGUUCAAAAACAAAACAUGGAUGUCUCGAUAGUGGUGGUAGAAACAAUCUUAAUUUAUGUCCUAUCUCAAGAGUCAUGCAUACUCGAGAAGUUUUUCUUAGCAAUAACCAAGGAACAUUAUCAUAUAUUAUUGAUCUUUUAGUUCCAAUACUGUUUUGCAUAGUAGUAUGGCUUACACUGCAUUUCUAUAUAUUGUUUGUAUCCACAUAUAUAUUACUGAUCUUUUGGUUCCAAUACUGUUCGGUUGUGUAUUAG